UACGUAGGGUGCUAGCGUUGUCCGGAUUUAUUGGGCGUAAAGGGCUCGUAGGCGGUUUGUCGCGUCGGCUGUGAAAACCUGGGGCUCAACCCCGGGCCUGCAGCCGAUACGGGCAAACUAGAAUUCGGUAGGGGAGACUGGAAUUCCUGGUGUAGCGGUGAAAUGCGCAGAUAUCAGAAGGAACACCGGUGGCGAAGGCGGGUCUCUGGGCCGAUAUUGACGCUGAGGAGCGAAAGCGUGGGGAGCGAACAGG
rnacentral:rRNA from 1 species